rnacentral:rRNA from 1 species
UACGGGGGGGGCAAGCGUUGUUCGGAAUUACUGGGCGUAAAGGGCUCGUAGGUGGCCAACUAAGUCAGACGUGAAAUCCCUCGGCUUAACCGGGGAACUGCGUCUGAUACUGGUUGGCUUGAGUUUGGGAGAGGGACGCGGAAUUCCAGGUGUAGCGGUGAAAUGCGUAGAUAUCUGGAGGAACACCGGUGGCGAAGGCGGUGGUCUGGGCCGGCACUGACGCUGAGGAGCGAAAGCGUGGGUAGCAAACAGG